GACAGAGGGUGCAAACGUUGCUCGGAAUUACUGGGCGUAAAGCGCGUGUAGGCUGCUUCGCAAGUCGGAUGUGAAAGCCCUGGGCUCAACCCAGGAAGUGCAUUCGAAACUGCAGAGCUGGAGUCCUGGAGAGGAAGGCGGAAUUCUCGGUGUAGAGGUGAAAUUCGUAGAUAUCGAGAGGAACACCGGUGGCGAAGGCGGCCUUCUGGACAGUGACUGACGCUGAGACGCAAAAGCGUGGGGAGCAAACAGG
rnacentral:rRNA from 1 species